GUCGAUGAUAUAUAUGGGCAUCACAUCCACUGAUCAGAUAUCCAUCAAAUCCUCGAAGGGAGCGCAAAAUGCUGAUCUGCCCGCCACUGGGGUGCAUAUUAAAACGGACGCGCGCAGACUCUCACGCACUCUUCCCGCAACUAUCAGCCACACCGUACCACAUCUACCCGGAGAGGAUCGCUGAAUUAGAAUGAUCCAUCAGAGGCGUGCGCAGCGCAACCGCUCAAGUGUGGGAUCCGCACAUGGGUGGAGAGGAAGGGAUCCCAUAUUCCUAAACCCUGUGACAAACAGUUAGACAGUGAAGUAUAAGAUUCACGAAGUUCCUUUUCUUCAGGGUUGGUACCCCACCUUCGUUAGGGCGCUGUUGAGUGACCCUGUCAGCGACUCAGUGGCGAUAAGCUGCGCCAAGAUGGUUUCAAGGCGCAGGUUCAGCUCAGUCAGCAGUGGGAUAAAAAUAUGUUCUCCACAUAACUACCUUCCUAUUGAGCUUUAAUUGAUGUUGAACAACAGUGACCAUAUGAACUGGACAAUCCCCUUUUGUGGCAAGUGUGCAAUGCACAAAAAUGGUCCACAAAAAUGAGGCAAGAAGCUAUUUAAACUAUGUUUUAGAGAAAAAAGUAAGAAUUUCAAUGUAUAUAUUAUUUAAUUUCAGUUGUUUUUGUUAGGUCGCUUUCACAAAUAGACUCCACAAAGUCAAAAUGCAGAAUAUCUCUAAUCAUGUUUCGCCUGUACAUAAUUGUCAUGCCUGUAUCAAUUUAAGGUUGUCUUGAUGUCAAUAAAAUGUCAAAAAUACUCUGUUACUUCAGAAGCAUAACAAAGGCUUCAUAAAUUUCAAACCAAGUUUAAAACAAACUCUGUCCAGCACAUAAUAUCUCGAUUCAGGUUUGACCAUAUGAAGUAAUUUAGAUUUAUAAUUAGAGGUCAUCAAAAAAUUCUAAAUUUAAGUUAGCCCCAAAUAGGAAUUUAAAAUUGGUUCCUUCCCAGUCUUUUGUUUACCACAUAUUUUCCUCGCUGUGCAGUUACAACAGAGAGAGGUGUGCAGUCUCUGAUGACUGGAAAUAGCAAGAAGAAACCUUGUGGUGGGAUUGAGGAGGACAUGAAUAAAUAGAUUGGAGACUCGCCUGAUCCAGAGAUCGUAGGGCAGACACAUAACUUACUGGAAGAACUCUAUGUCCCACCUGGAAUGUAAACACCUUGGGAUUUCUUAUAGUGACCUAAAGUAUAUUGCAAGAUAGAUAUUUGUUUUGUUUUUCCCUCUGGACAUUGUACCGCUGCAACCCAAUUUCCAAAAUUGCAGAAGAAAAUGUCUGACUGUUUGGGUAUGCAAAUGAUGACAGUAGACAUAAGUGGUGGCAUCAUAAGUCCUUUAGUGUGUUAAAGACAGUUGUCAGAGCACUUCACUGUCACUCAAAGCAGUAAGUGAGGGUCACUAAACACAGACAAUACUUCUUUCAACAAUACUUUGGCAUGGAUUGCCAGUACUUGACAGAUUUUGACAAGAAUUGCAUUGUGGGCAGGAUGGAGAUUAUACUGUGCAACAGCCUGGGGAAUACAAUUGUCACUGUGGCCUGGUAUUGGAAACAAUGGAUAAAUGGUGGCAGCCACAAAUAUCCUGUUGUUGUAAAAAGUACACCUCAGUUGCAUCGAUUUUAAACCAAGUCUUUCUUUGACAUCAGAGUGUUUAUUGUCCAAUAUUUCAGCAAUAAAUGUGCAUAUAAAUUCUAUCUGAUUACAUAUCAGCAUGCUUGUUUCAACUAACUAAACCUAUUUAUUCAUGAAAUAAUGGCACGUGGCUCAAACUCCUUGAAAGAAAAUUACAGAAUUCAUGCUAACUUUAAAUAUUGAAUGCAGUUCCAACUCACUAUUCAUCAUGCAACAUCUGUGAGCAAAUGAUUGUACUGCAGUAAAAUCUCGCUUUUCUGAGAUCACUGGUGCUAUAAACCAUAUGUUUUUAGCCAUUUUUUCAAUAUAUGUGUGAGGUACAGAAUAAUUUGCCCUAAAUAUCUUUCUCUUUGCUUCAUGUGUAUGUUUUAUUUCUUUACAUGUGACCUUUUGCUCCCAGCUGAAGAAUAAAGUUCACAAGGGAGUCAUAGGGAAUGCUGCAAAUACGCAAGGAGUUUUGGUCUAACAGCAAAAGUCGGCAUCAAAGUGAGAAGAAAACUAGGUAUGCCACUGUGGAGAAUAAAUGACCUAAUUUCAGUAGGAGCAAUAGUGUUUGGAUGAGACUGCAUGAUAAGUGACUGAUUGUCUGUCAUCAGUUUAUAUUGAACUAAGAUUGCUGAUAUAGGUGAAUGUGUUGAAAGCAAUAAAACAUUUUUAUAAUGCA